rnacentral:tRNA from 1 species
GCGGAAGUGGCUCAGUUGGUAGAGCAUCUCCUUGCCAAGGAGAAGGUCGCGAGUUCGAAUCUCGUCUUCCGCU